AGUGAACGCUGGCGGUAGGCCUAACACAUGCAAGUCGAACGGCAGCACAGUAAGAGCUUGCUCUUACGGGUGGCGAGUGGCGGACGGGUGAGGAAUACAUCGGAAUCUACUUUUUCGUGGGGGAUAACGUAGGGAAACUUACGCUACUACCGCAUACUACCUACGGGUGAAAGCAGGGGAUCUUCGGACCUUGCGCGAUUGAAUGAGCCGAUGUCGGAUUAGCUAGUUGGCGGGGUAAAGGCCCACCAAGGCGACGAUCCGUAGCUGGUCUGAGAGGAUGAUCAGCCACACUGGAACUGAGACACGGUCCAGACUCCUACGGGAGGCAGCAGUGGGGAAUAUUGGACAAUGGGCGCAAGCCUGAUCCAGCCAUACCGCGUGGGUGAAGAAGGCCUUCGGGUUGUAAAGCCCUUUUGUUGGGAAAGAAAAGCAGCAGGUUAAUACCCCGAUGUUCUGACGGUACCCAAAGAAUAAGCACCGGCUAACUUCGUG
rnacentral:rRNA from 1 species